CCUUGGCUCGCUGGCCUUGGCUGCGGCUCCUCGGGAGAGCUGGGGCGCCCACGAGAGGAUCCCUCACCUGGGUCUCUCCUCAGGGAUGACAUCAUCCGUCCACCUCCUUGUCUUCAAGGACCACCUCCUCUCCAUGCUGAGCUGCUGCCAAGGGGCCUGCUGCCCAUCUACACCUCACGAGGGCACUAGGAGCACGGAUUCCUGGAUCCCACCAACAUACAAAGCAGCCACUCACUGACCCCCAGGACCAGGAUGGCAAAGGAUGAAGAGGACCGGAACUGACCAGCCAGCUGUCCCUCUUACCUAAAGACUUAAACCAAUGCCCUAGUGAGGGGGCAUUGGGCAUUAAGCCCUGACCUUUGCUAUGCUCAUACUUUGACUCUAUGAGUACUUUCCUAUAAGUCUUUGCUUGUGUUCACCUGCUAGCAAACUGGAGUGUUUCCCUCCCCAAGGGGGUGUCAGUCUUUGUCGACUGACUCUGUCAUCACCCUUAUGAUGUCCUGAAUGGAAGGAUCCCUUUGGGAAAUUCUCAGGAGGGGGACCUGGGCCAAGGGCUUGGCCAGCAUCCUGCUGGCAACUCCAAGGCCCUGGGUGGGCUUCUGGAAUGAGCAUGCUACUGAAUCACCAAAGGCACGCCCCACCUCUCUGAAGAUCUUCCUAUCCUUUUCUGGGGAAUGGGGUCGAUGAGAGCAACCUCCUAGGGUUGUUGUGAGAAUUAAAUGAGAUAAAAGAGGCCUCAGGCAGGAUCUGGCAUAGAGGAGGUGAUCAGCAAAUGUUUGUUGAAAAGGUUUGACAGGUCAGUCCCUUCCCACCCCUCUUGCUUGUCUUACUUGUCUUAUUUAUUCUCCAACAGCACUCCAGGCAGCCCUUGUCCACGGGCUCUCCUUGCAUCAGGACGAAUAAUUUAUGGUCAGUGAAAAUCGAGGCCCCAGUGAGAUUCGAGUGGGCUGUAAAAUCGAGAGUCCUGCUCCCACAGGUUCCCAGUGCCCCCGACAAGCCCCUGCUGGUGUCUCCAUCUCCUGCCAAGCAUCCUCCAGUGCCUCCUCCUGUGGGCCUGGCCUCAGGGCUAUGGACAGACUCCUGUCCCAUCCCAGAGACCCCUCGUGAUCGUGCCCUGGCACGUGGGCCGUGGCCCGGCUGGGUCGGCUGAAGAACUGCGGAUGGAAGCUGCGGAAGAGGCCCUGAUGGGGCCCACCAUCCCGGACCCAAGUCUUCUUCCUGGCGGGCCUCUCGUCUCCUUCCUGGUUUGGGCGGAAGCCAUCACCUGGAUGCCUACGUGGGAAGGGACCUCGAAUGUGGGACCCCAGCCCCUCUCCAGCUCGAAAUCCCUCCACAGCCACGGGGACGCCCUGCACCUAUUCCCACGGGACAGGCUGGACCCAGAGACUCUGGACCCGGGGCCUCCCCUUGAGUAGAGACCCGCCCUCUGACUGAUGGACGCCGCUGACCUGGGGUCAGACCCGUGGGCUGGACCCCUGCCCACCCCGCAGGAACCCUGAGGCCUAGGGGAGCUGUUGAGCCUUCGGUGUCUGCAUGUGGGAAGUGGGCUCCUUCACCUACCUCACAGGGCUGUUGUGAGGGGCGCUGUGAUGCGGUUCCAAAGCACAGGGCUUG
rnacentral:lncRNA from 1 species